rnacentral:lncRNA from 1 species
GAUGUGACAAUUGAAACAGGCAAAAACCACAAGUUAUUUCCUCUUCAGGAAUUUUGCUUUAAUUAAAAAGAAGAAGAAGCUCAACCGAAGUCCCUACAUCUUCUUGAGCUAGGAACAGUUGAGUUGCAUAGAACCACAGCAUCAAUGACCAGCUUUACCUGGUGUGAAAUUGGUGAACUGCCCCUGGGGAACAGAGGUUAUCCACGUGGGCUGUAGGUUGUAAUCACCACGAAGCUUUUUAGAAUACCAGUGCCAGAGCCCUCCCCUGAAGGUUCUCUUUGCUCUGUCUGUCUUUACUGUGAGCUCUCAGCCUUCACAGAUCUGCUUCAGGCUUGUCAACCCUCUUGUUUCUUCCCUCUCAUCUCCUUUCUUUUCCAUCUGACACACUGCGCAUCAGGUGAAGCCUGUUCACAAGAUUGCCCUGUCGGCACAGCGCUUGAUGGACACAGCAGGUAGUGGGUCUGCCAUCUUGGUGGGCGUAGCAGGAGGCAAGUCUAUUGUCUGGAGCUGGGCAGUCACAGCAAUAAAUCAUUGCCUACUGUUGGUAGCAAUGGCUGGAAUUUGGGUGUUAUGGUCUGACCAUUUGGUGAGCUCUGCACUGGAUGAAUCAUUUGAAGAGAUCCAGUGUCUGUUGGGUGAGACAACAGAGAAGCUAGUUUGUUUGCCUGUUCAUCUAUUUGGGCUCAAAUCAAUCAAGACUGUUGUGUGCCACCAAGAAGGAAGAGAUGCAGGAAGAAGAUAGCCAUCUACAAACCAAAGAACACCUUUGAAGCUACCAGAAGCUAAGAGAGAGGCUGGAACAGACCCUUGCCUAGGGCCGUCAGAGGGAGAAUGGCCCUGCCAACACCUUGAUCUCAGACUUCUGGCCUCCAGAAUUGUGAGAUAAUAAGUUUCUUUUGG